rnacentral:lncRNA from 1 species
CGGCUUCUCCUGGGUCCCUGCCUGCUGCGUGGCGCCUCUCCCGACCGAAGGAGCGAAGCAGCAGCCUCGGGACCCAAUUCAUGCAUACAUGGUGUAAGAAAACAAUGUGAAACUUGGUGUCAGAAACAGAUGUGAAACUUGAUUUAAGAAACAGAAGUGAAACUUGAUUUAAGAAGCAGAAGUGAAACUUGAUUUAGGAAACGAUCGACAGGACUUCAGAAAACUCUGUGAAGCUUGAUUUAAGAAACAGAUGUGAAAGUUGAUUUAAGAAACGAUCGACACGACUUCAGAAAACUAUGUGAAACUUGAUUUAAGAGAAACCAAAGCAGAAGAAGUGAAACUUGAUUUAGGAAACGAUCGACAGGACUUCAGAAAACUCUGUGAAGCUUGAUUUAAGAAACAGAUGUGAAAGUUGAUUUAAGAAACGAUCGACACGACUUCAGAAAACUAUGUGAAACUUGAUUUAAGAGAAACCAGUUCGAC